CCCCGCGCCCGCGGAGCCCCGGCUCCCGCCUGCCCAGCCCCCUCCCGGGGAGCGAGCCGGGACCCAGGGGUGGGAGCAGAGUCGGGGCUUUGUGGCGCCGGGGGCCGAGGAAGAAUGAAACGUGCAGUUGGGAGUGUUGCUCGCGUCCCAGGGAGCAGCGCAGGCCCGAUUGUCUGCCGCCGAGAUGGCCUUUUGUUCGGAGCAUAAGGUUUAAGAAACACACACACGUUUUCUGGGGUCUCUUGUUGGAUGUAAAUGUGCCGCAUCCAGACGCUCGCGGNNNNNNNNNNNNNNNNNNNNNNNNNCGCCCCGCCCCGCCCCGCCCCGCCCCGGCGACCGGGACCGUUGGGACGCGGACCUCACCCAGACUUCUGGGCCGCCGGCACUGCCUUCGCCCCGUUUCACUCCAGACUAGCCAAGCAUCCCACGGAGAUGAUAAAGCAAACAAUAACAUCUGAUCAUGACGUCCACGAGAUAAUGUGCCCGGCAAAGUUCUUUAGGAAUCGGGAUGAGCGGGAGGGUGAGGGAGUGAUCGUUUCCCUUCGUUUUCCUUAAACGUGACUUUAAGAGAUAAAUGGUGAAGUUUAUACCUUGGCCUGCUGGACAGCCGGUCCGCCCCAUGGCACGAAGCUCGGCAUCAAAGGGCCAAAUUAGACAUUCGACCGGGAGCCCUCGAAGCUGAGGAUGUUACCUUUGAAGGACACAUAUAAGCAACAACAAUCAAGGAGAAGUGUAAGGAAAUAAGCAAGGUGAUGCUGAAUGCGAUUGUGCAGAUGACCAUAUUCUUACCUGUCUGGACCAAGGGUAAUUUUGGCUCAGAACAGAAACAAUGAAAAUACAGAGGAAUUGCAUUUGGAUACUUCUUCCUGUCAAUCAUCUUUGCCAGAUUCCUAUUUGAACAUCCUGAAAAUGAGGAAGACAUCAGAUCUCGCCUUAAGGAAGUCUGAUACCCAGGAGAUGAUCCGAGUUUCAACUCUCUGUGGUGAAAAGAGGGUGAAGAGCAGCAGAAAAUCCAAUUCUCUUGACCUUCAGGACAUGGAGCAGAACUCAUCGCUUCCACCUGGCCUACCCAAAUUUUAUGUACACAGUGGAAGUUCACGCUCUCAGUUUAUCUAUCCCCAAGUCCUAGGCCACUUCCAGAGGAGUCUGAGAAGCAGGGAUCAAGUGCUUGGGAAGCCAGUCAGAACCUUCAGUGCAUGCCUUUUUCACCUGCUACAAUGCUUUAUUGAUCUAAAAUGUGAUUAAACAGUAAAUAAACUUUCCCAUUAAAAUAAAACA
rnacentral:lncRNA from 1 species